ACAUCGGUUUUGGGUUGGGGUGACCACGGAGCACAAACUAACCUCCAUGAUGAAUAAGACUAACCCUUUAUCUAAGAGACACAUCUCUNAGAAUUAGCACACUAACAUAAAAUGAUCCGAUAUUCGAUCAACGAACCAAGUUACCCUGGGGAUAACAGCGCAAUCCACUUCAAGAGCCCCUAUCCACAAGUGGGUUUACGACCUCGAUGUUGGAUCAGGGUAUCCUAGUGGUGCAGCAGCUACNAAAGGUUCGUUUGUUCAACGAUUA
rnacentral:rRNA from 1 species